rnacentral:rRNA from 1 species
GGUUAAGCGACUAAGCGUACACGGUGGAUGCCCUGGCAGUCAGAGGCGAUGAAGGACGUGCUAAUCUGCGAUAAGCGUCGGUAAGGUGAUAUGAACCGUUAUAACCGGCGAUUUCCGAAUGGGGAAACCCAGUGUGUUUCGACACACUAUCAUUAACUGAAUCCAUAGGUUAAUGAGGCGAACCGGGGGAACUGAAACAUCUAAGUACCCCGAGGAAAAGAAAUCAACCGAGAUUCCCCCAGUAGCGGCGAGCGAACGGGGAGCAGCCCAGAGCCUGAAUCAGUGUGUGUGUUAGUGGAAGCGUCUGGAAAGGCGCGCGAUACAGGGUGACAGCCCCGUACACAAAAAUGCACAUGCUGUGAGCUCGAUGAGUAGGGCGGGACACGUGGUAUCCUGUCUGAAUAUGGGGGGACCAUCCUCCAAGGCUAAAUACUCCUGACUGACCGAUAGUGAACCAGUACCGUGAGGGAAAGGCGAAAAGAACCCCGGCGAGGGGAGUGAAAAAGAACCUGAAACCGUGUACGUACAAGCAGUGGGAGCACGCUUAGGCGUGUGACUGCGUACCUUUUGUAUAAUGGGUCAGCGACUUAUAUUCUGUAGCAAGGUUAACCGAAUAGGGGAGCCGAAGGGAAACCGAGUCUUAACUGGGCGUUAAGUUGCAGGGUAUAGACCCGAAACCCGGUGAUCUAGCCAUGGGCAGGUUGAAGGUUGGGUAACACUAACUGGAGGACCGAACCGACUAAUGUUGAAAAAUUAGCGGAUGACUUGUGGCUGGGGGUGAAAGGCCAAUCAAACCGGGAGAUAGCUGGUUCUCCCCGAAAGCUAUUUAGGUAGCGCCUCGUGAAUUCAUCUCCGGGGGUAGAGCACUGUUUCGGCAAGGGGGUCAUCCCGACUUACCAACCCGAUGCAAACUGCGAAUACCGGAGAAUGUUAUCACGGGAGACACACGGCGGGUGCUAACGUCCGUCGUGAAGAGGGAAACAACCCAGACCGCCAGCUAAGGUCCCAAAGUCAUGGUUAAGUGGGAAACGAUGUGGGAAGGCCCAGACAGCCAGGAUGUUGGCUUAGAAGCAGCCAUCAUUUAAAGAAAGCGUAAUAGCUCACUGGUCGAGUCGGCCUGCGCGGAAGAUGUAACGGGGCUAAACCAUGCACCGAAGCUGCGGCAGCGACGCUUAUGCGUUGUUGGGUAGGGGAGCGUUCUGUAAGCCUGCGAAGGUGUGCUGUGAGGCAUGCUGGAGGUAUCAGAAGUGCGAAUGCUGACAUAAGUAACGAUAAAGCGGGUGAAAAGCCCGCUCGCCGGAAGACCAAGGGUUCCUGUCCAACGUUAAUCGGGGCAGGGUGAGUCGACCCCUAAGGCGAGGCCGAAAGGCGUAGUCGAUGGGAAACAGGUUAAUAUUCCUGUACUUGGUGUUACUGCGAAGGGGGGACGGAGAAGGCUAUGUUGGCCGGGCGACGGUUGUCCCGGUUUAAGCGUGUAGGCUGGUUUUCCAGGCAAAUCCGGAAAAUCAAGGCUGAGGCGUGAUGACGAGGCACUACGGUGCUGAAGCAACAAAUGCCCUGCUUCCAGGAAAAGCCUCUAAGCAUCAGGUAACAUCAAAUCGUACCCCAAACCGACACAGGUGGUCAGGUAGAGAAUACCAAGGCGCUUGAGAGAACUCGGGUGAAGGAACUAGGCAAAAUGGUGCCGUAACUUCGGGAGAAGGCACGCUGAUAUGUAGGUGAAGUCCCUCGCGGAUGGAGCUGAAAUCAGUCGAAGAUACCAGCUGGCUGCAACUGUUUAUUAAAAACACAGCACUGUGCAAACACGAAAGUGGACGUAUACGGUGUGACGCCUGCCCGGUGCCGGAAGGUUAAUUGAUGGGGUUAGCGCAAGCGAAGCUCUUGAUCGAAGCCCCGGUAAACGGCGGCCGUAACUAUAACGGUCCUAAGGUAGCGAAAUUCCUUGUCGGGUAAGUUCCGACCUGCACGAAUGGCGUAAUGAUGGCCAGGCUGUCUCCACCCGAGACUCAGUGAAAUUGAACUCGCUGUGAAGAUGCAGUGUACCCGCGGCAAGACGGAAAGACCCCGUGAACCUUUACUAUAGCUUGACACUGAACAUUGAGCCUUGAUGUGUAGGAUAGGUGGGAGGCUUUGAAGUGUGGACGCCAGUCUGCAUGGAGCCGACCUUGAAAUACCACCCUUUAAUGUUUGAUGUUCUAACGUGGACCCGUGAUCCGGGUUGCGGACAGUGUCUGGUGGGUAGUUUGACUGGGGCGGUCUCCUCCUAAAGAGUAACGGAGGAGCACGAAGGUUGGCUAAUCCUGGUCGGACAUCAGGAGGUUAGUGCAAUGGCAUAAGCCAGCUUGACUGCGAGCGUGACGGCGCGAGCAGGUGCGAAAGCAGGUCAUAGUGAUCCGGUGGUUCUGAAUGGAAGGGCCAUCGCUCAACGGAUAAAAGGUACUCCGGGGAUAACAGGCUGAUACCGCCCAAGAGUUCAUAUCGACGGCGGUGUUUGGCACCUCGAUGUCGGCUCAUCACAUCCUGGGGCUGAAGUAGGUCCCAAGGGUAUGGCUGUUCGCCAUUUAAAGUGGUACGCGAGCUGGGUUUAGAACGUCGUGAGACAGUUCGGUCCCUAUCUGCCGUGGGCGCUGGAGAACUGAGGGGGGCUGCUCCUAGUACGAGAGGACCGGAGUGGACGCAUCACUGGUGUUCGGGUUGUCAUGCCAAUGGCACUGCCCGGUAGCUAAAUGCGGAAGAGAUAAGUGCUGAAAGCAUCUAAGCACGAAACUUGCCCCGAGAUGAGUUCUCCCUGACUCCUUGAGAGUCCUGAAGGAACGUUGAAGACGACGACGUUGAUAGGCCGGGUGUGUAAGCGCAGCGAUGCGUUGAGCUAACCGGUACUAAUGAACCGUGAGGCUUAACCUU